CGACCGGGUGGCGGAGGCGGCGCGGCCCGGCGAUGACGACAUCGUGAUCAACAUUCAGGGGGACGAGCCGCUGAUCGAUCCGGCGCUGAUCGAC
rnacentral:tRNA from 1 species